GGAUGAACGCUAGCGGCAGGCUUAAUACAUGCAAGUCGAGGGGCAGCAUAAGUAGCAAUACUUGAUGGCGACCGGCAAACGGGUGCGGAACACGUACGCAACCUUCCUUUAAGUGGGGAAUAGCCCGGGGAAACCCGGAUUAAUACCCCGUAAUAUUAUGAUGUGGCAUCACAUUAUAAUUAUAGAUUCAUCGCUUAAAGAUGGGCGUGCGCCUGAUUAGGUAGUUGGCGGAGUAAUAGCCCACCAAGCCUGCGAUCAGUAACUGGUGUGAGAGCACGACCAGUCACACGGGCACUGAGAC
rnacentral:rRNA from 1 species